CAAUAGCGUAUAUUAAAGUUGUUGCGGUUAAAAGCUCGUAGUUGGAUUUCUGCCGAGGACGACCGGUCCGCCCUGUGGGUGAGCAUCUGGAUCGGCCUGGGCAUCUUCUUGGGGAACGUAGCUGCACUUGACUGUGUGGUGCGGUAUCCAGGACUUUUACCUUGAGGAAAUUAGAGUGUUUCAAGCAGGCGCACGCCUUGAAUACAUUAGCAUGGAAUAAUAAGAUAGGACCUCGGUUCUAUUUUGUUGGUUUCUAGAGCUGAGGUAAUGAUUAAUAGGGAUAGUUGGGGGCAUUCGUAUUAACGCGUCAGAGGUGGAAUUCUUAGAUUGCGUUACGACGAACUACUGCGAAAGCAUUUGCCAAGGAUGUUUUCAUUGAUCAAGAACGAAAGUAUGGGGAUCGAAGACGAUUAGAUACCAU
rnacentral:rRNA from 1 species